AACAUCGAGCCGUCCUGCGUCACUAUGCCGACUGACUGUAAGUAUUCACAUGAGUGUAUUAUGAUUAUAUUAUGACUGUCUAUGUGAAUCAGCUGUUUAUAUCUGACUGAAUCAGUGAUUACUCCACAGCGAUCUGCGGCCCCGCAGCGAUUUGCGGGCUCCGUCGGUGAGAGCGCGAAACAUCAGCUGGGGCCACAUGGAAGUUCGAAUGAUAUAUGGCUCGACAUUCAACAAACGAUUCUAGCCGACCAGACAAAUGUGUUGACAAGCGGUAGUUUUGUACCUAUCGCGGCCACCGUGAAUCAGCGAUCCCCCGGACUGAGCCGACUAUCCAAGAAAAGGCCGGCGGGGAUAGAUGCGGCUAUAGCCGGCUCAUCGCUGACCAUAGAGCAGCCGCAAAUUCCUUAUAAAAAGACGCGCAAGGACGCCGCACAUAGUGCUAUAGCUCCGGAGAAUUUUAACCAUGUUAUACAGGCCGUCAUAAACCCACAAAUCGCGCAACAUGGAGCUGUAUGGUCCGAUGCCAAACGCCAGGUGAUCGGUGCCGUGGAGGUCCAUGUGCCUGCAUCCCCUACAGAGAUCGUCACAGUGCAACCGAAUGGGGCUA